UAUAGUCAGGUGCUUGGAUAAAAAAUUUCAUCCGAGCUUUCAAAUAGGUGUAGUUGGACCCAUUGAAAAGUGAAGGUCGGUUUGUGGAUUACCCCUCGACUAGAGAUAUGCUAAAUUGGACUACUAUAGAUCUUUGGCUCUUGAUGGUUAAUCAAACAAGUGCUGGAGCAUCGAGCUCUGAUACCACUUGUUGUCCAAAUAUGGAGCCCAAGAGGGGGGAU
rnacentral:lncRNA from 1 species